UACGUAGGGCGCAAGCGUUGUCCGGAAUCAUUGGGCGUAAAGAGCGUGUAGGCGGCCCGAUAAGUCCGCUGUGAAAGUCCAGGGCUCAACCCUGGAAUGCCGGUGGAUACUGUCGGGCUCGAAUCCGGAAGAGGUGAGUGGAAUUCCUGGUGUAGCGGUGAAAUGCGCAGAUAUCAGGAGGAACACCAAUGGCGAAGGCAGCUCACUGGGACGGUAUUGACGCUGAGACGCGAAAGCGUGGGGAGCAAACAGG
rnacentral:rRNA from 1 species